rnacentral:rRNA from 1 species
AACGUAGGGGACAAGCGUUAUCCGGAUUUACUGGGCGUAAAGCGCCCGUAGGCGGCUUGAUAAGUUGGACGUGAAAGCUCCCGGCUUAACUGGGAGAGGCCGUUCAAAACUGACAGGCUAGAGUGAGGAAGAGGAGAGCGGAAUUCCCGGUGUAGCGGUGAAAUGCGUAGAUAUCAGGAGGAACACCUGUGGUGUAGACAGCUUACUGGACCACUUCUGACGCUGAGACACGAAAGCGUGGGUAGCAAACAGG